rnacentral:rRNA from 1 species
GAUGGCGACCGGCGCACGGGUGAGUAACACGUAUCCAACCUGCCGAUGACUCGGGGAUAGCCUUUCGAAAGAAAGAUUAAUACCCGAUGGCAUAGUUCUUCCGCAUGGUAGAACUAUUAAAGAAUUUCGGUCAUCGAUGGGGAUGCGUUCCAUUAGGUUGUUGGCGGGGUAACGGCCCACCAAGCCUUCGAUGGAUAGGGGUUCUGAGAGGAAGGUCCCCCACAUUGGAACUGAGACACGGUCCAAACUCCUACGGGAGGCAGCAGUGAGGAAUAUUGGUCAAUGGACGAGAGUCUGAACCAGCCAAGUAGCGUGAAGGAUGACUGCCCUAUGGGUUGUAAACUUCUUUUAUACGGGAAUAAAGUGAGGCACGUGUGCCUUUUUGUAUGUACCGUAUGAAUAAGGAUCGGCUAACUCCGUGCCAGCAGCCGCGGUAAUACGGAGGAUCCGAGCGUUAUCCGGAUUUAUUGGGUUUAAAGGGAGCGUAGGCGGACGCUUAAGUCAGUUGUGAAAGUUUGCGGCUCAACCGUAAAAUUGCAGUUGAUACUGGGUGUCUUGAGUACAGUAGAGGCAGGCGGAAUUCGUGGUGUAGCGGUGAAAUGCUUAGAUAUCACGAAGAACUCCGAUUGCGAAGGCAGCUUGCUGGACUGUAACUGACGCUGAUGCUCGAAAGUGUGGGUAUCAAACAGGAUUAGAUACCCUGGUAGUCCACACAGUAAACGAUGAAUACUCGCUGUUUGCGAUAUACAGUAAGCGGCCAAGCGAAAGCGUUAAGUAUUCCACCUGGGGAGUACGCCGGCAACGGUGAAACUCAAAGGAAUUGACGGGGGCCCGCACAAGCGGAGGAACAUGUGGUUUAAUUCGAUGAUACGCGAGGAACCUUACCCGGGCUUGAAUUGCAACUGAAUGAUGUGGAGACAUGUCAGCCGCAAGGCAGUUGUGAAGGUGCUGCAUGGUUGUCGUCAGCUCGUGCCGUGAGGUGCCGGCUUAAGUGCCAUAACGAGCGCAACCCUUAUCGAUAGUUACCAUCAGUUAUGCUGGGGACUCUGUCGAGACUGCCGUCGUAAGAUGUGAGGAAGGUGGGGAUGACGUCAAAUCAGCACGGCCCUUACGUCCGGGGCUACACACGUGUUACAAUGGGGGGUACAGAAGGCAGCUACACGGCGACGUGAUGCUAAUCCCGAAAGCCUCUCUC